UCAGUGGCUCGAGAUGAACGCUGGCGGUAUGCCUAACACAUGCAAGUCGUACGAGAGUUUUUAACUCUAGUGGCGGACGGGUGAGUAACACGUGAGAAUUUGCCUUUAGGAGGGGGACAACAAUCGGAAACGAAUGCUAAUACCCCAUAUGCUUUCGAGUGAAAUGGAUUUUAUCCGCCUAGAGAGAAGCUCGCGGCCUAUCAGCUUGUUGGUGAGGUAAAGGCUCACCAAGGCGACGACGGGUAUCCGGCCUGAGAGGGCGACCGGACACACUGGGACUGAGACACGGCCCAGACUCCUACGGGAGGCAGCAGUGGGGAAUAUUGCGCAAUGGGCGAAAGCCUGACGCAGCGACGCCGCGUGAGGGAUGAAGGUCUUCGGAUUGUAAACCUCUUUCAGCAGGGACGAAGCGAAAGUGACGGUACCUGAAGAAGAAGCACCGGCUAACUACGUG
rnacentral:rRNA from 1 species